rnacentral:rRNA from 1 species
GAGGCCUACCAUGGUGGUAACGGGUAACGGGGUGUUAGGGCACGACACCGGAGAGGGANNNNNAGAAACGGCUACCACAUCCAAGGAUGGCAGCAGGCGCGCAAAUUACCCAAUCCCGACACGGGGAGGUAGUGACAAUAAAUAACAAUACGGGGUUCUUUCGGAUCUCGUAAUUGGAAUGAGUACAAUUUAAAUCUCUUAACGAGGAACAAUUGGAGGGCAAGUCUGGUGCCAGCAGCCGCGGUAAUUCCAGCUCCAAUAGCGUAUAUUAAAGUUGUUGCAGUUAAAAAGCUCGUAGUUGAAUUUCGGGGUUAGUAGGUUGGUCAUGCCUCUGGUAUGUACUGGUCUCACUGAUUCCUCCUUCCUUAUGAACCGUAAUGCCAUUAAUUUGGUGUUGCGGGGAAUUUGGACUGUUACUUUGAAAAAAUUAGAGUGUUUAAAGCAAGCUAACGCUUGAAUACAUUAGUAUGGAAUAAUGAAAUAGGACGUUCGAUCUUAUUUUGUUGGUUUCUAGGAUUGACGUAAUGAUUAAUAGGGAUAGUUGGGGGCAUUAGUAUUCAAUUGUCAGAGGUGAAAUUCUUGGAUUUAUUGAAGACUAACUACUGCGAAAGCAUUUGCCAAGGAUGUUUUCAUUAAUCAAGAACGAAAGUUAGGGGAUCGAAGACGAUCAGAUACCGUCGUAGUCUUAACCAUAAACUAUGCCGACUAGGGAUCGGAUGAUG